rnacentral:rRNA from 1 species
GUGGGGAAUUUUGGACAAUGGGCGAAAGCCUGAUCCAGCCAUGUCGCGUGCAGGAUGAAGGCCUUCGGGUUGUAAACUGCUUUUGUACGGAACGAAAAGACUCCUUCUAAUAAAGGGGGUCCAUGACGGUACCGUAAGAAUAAGCACCGGCUAACUACGUGCCAGCAGCCGCGGUAAUACGAAGGGUGCAAGCGUUAAUCGGAAUUACUGGGCGUAAAGCGCGCGUAGGGGGUUUUGUAAGUUGGAGGUGAAAUCCCCGGGCUCAACCGGGGAACUGCAUUUGUGACUGUAUAGCUAGAGUACGGCAGAGGGGGAUGGAAUUCCGCGUGUAGCAGUGAAAUGCGUAGAUAUGCGGAGGAACACCGAUGGCGAAGGCAAUCCCCUGGGCCUGUACUGACGCUCAUGCACGAAAGCGUGGGGAGCAAACAGGAUUAGAAACCCUGGUAGUCC